rnacentral:snRNA from 2 species
GUCCCUUUGGGGACAUUCGAUAAAAUUGGGAUGAUACAUAGAAGAUUAGCCUGACCCCUGCGUAAGAAUGACAUGCAUAAAUCGAGAAAUUGUCCAAAUUUGA